rnacentral:rRNA from 1 species
GGCCUAUCAGCUUGUUGGUGAGGUAAUGGCUCACCAAGGCGUCGACGGGUAGCCGGCCUGAGAGGGUGACCGGCCACACUGGGACUGAGACACGGCCCAGACUCCUACGGGAGGCAGCAGUGGGGAAUAUUGCACAAUGGGCGCAAGCCUGAUGCAGCAACGCCGCGUGAGGGACGACGGCCUUCGGGUUGUAAACCUCUUUUAGCAGGGAAGAAGCGAAAGUGACGGUACCUGCAGAAAAAGCGCCGGCUAACUACGUGCCAGCAGCCGCGGUAAUACGUAGGGCGCAAGCGUUAUCCGGAAUUAUUGGGCGUAAAGAGCUCGUAGGCGGUUUGUCGCGUCUGCUGUGAAAUCCGGAGGCUCAACCUCCGGCCUGCAGUGGGUACGGGCAGACUAGAGUGCGGUAGGGGAGAUUGGAAUUCCUGGUGUAGCGGUGGAAUGCGCAGAUAUCAGGAGGAACACCGAUGGCGAAGGCAGAUCUCUGGGCCGUAACUGACGCUGAGGAGCGAAAGGGUGGGGAGCAAACAGGCUUAGAUACCCUGGUAGUCCACCCCGUAAACGUUGGGAACUAGUUGUGGGGUCCAUUCCACGGAUUCCGUGACGCAGCUAACGCAUUAAGUUCCCCGCCUGGGGAGUACGGCCGCAAGGCUAAAACUCAAAGGAAUUGACGGGGACCCGCACAAGCGGCGGAGCAUGCGGAUUAAUUCGAUGCAACGCGAAGAACCUUACCAAGGCUUGACAUAUACGA